GGCGAGGCGGCGUCCCCCAGCGGCCGCCCGCCCCAGCGCGCCAGCCCCGGCGUGGGUGGGCGUGCGCGGCGCGCGUGCCUGCCGCCGCCGCCGCUAGCGCCCUGGCCCAGCCGGCGAGCCCCGGCGUGCGCGGGCCGGGCGCACGGAGCGGGAAAUGCGGCCGCAUCCCGGAGGUGCCGGCCGGGGACCUCCGCCCUCCCCGGCGGAAGCCCGAGGGGGUCUCGGUUUCCUCAAGCGGCAGCUGAGGCCAACCUCUGCGCGCAGGACCGCGAAGCCGGGCAGCCGCGUCGGCUCCUGCGGGGUGUUGUCUUUCGUUAGUUACUCCCGAGCUUUCCCGCUUCCCCGCUUCCCAGCCCCGUGAAUACCGCCUGCACUUCUCAGAAGAGCAGCCUGACGGUGGCUCCGGCACGCGCUGCAGUCCUGCGUUUGCGCCGCUAGGGGGAGAGCCCCUCGGGUUUGGGCCCGAGCGAAGCUUGGCCGCGUUUGCAGCCCUCGAGGGACACUGCCCAGUCCUGAGGGCCAGGCGAAAAGCCUCCAGCUUAUGAUGCCGGGAACGGACCGCCUGGGUUUCCACCCCCUCCCCCCCGCUUCUCAAUUCUGUAAAUAUCUAUUCUGCAUGUGUUCCAGACCUGGCCGUCGUCCUCCCAGAACUCACAGCCCCCGGAGCAAACAGCACUCCUUAUAAAAAUGAAUGAGUGAAUAAAUAGCUACAGGAAAACCACAGUAGCAGGGCUAUGACCCAGAAGGAUAAUAGGAGAGAAGGUGAACAGGCAGCCAGCUGGUUCAGCACAUCAAGUCGCAGAACGGAAGACCACCAAGAAAGAACCGGUCCAAUUCUGUUCACGGAAUGAUGGAAAAAAUAGGACACUGUUAUGAAGUCAAGCUCCUUCAUGAAGUACUUUGCUGAAUUUCAAAGCAAAAAAAGUACCAUUCAUUUUUUUUCUGCAACUGGCUGGAUUUUUAAACUAUAUCCAUCACUCACUGUAAUCACAGGAAAUCAGCUCAAAAACUUAUUCUUGCGUUUUUUUCCCCCCCUGAGGCCACAAUACCUAUAAAAUGAAAUGCUGAUGUAUUAAUACCAUGUUUUAGCGGUUUCUAACAUACAGUCAAAAUCACUCAAUGCUUCCCAGAGUUACUGCACAAGAAAUACACCAACAAUUAAACAGAGUGUUAAGUAUUUGAUCUGCAAGAGACCUUACAAGGUUAGAUCAAUUUACUUUCCAAAGCUGGUUGUUUUUGCAGAAAAUGUACUCAUGAUCCUAUGUCUUUAUGUCAGCCUUACUGAUACAAAUUAAGACUUACUAGAACACACACCCACAAAUGGACUUUUUUUUAAAGAAUAAAGGUUUCCUUUUUAUUCCUUUAGCACAAAACUUCUCUGAUCAUCUUACUAGAAUAACUUUCAAAAGUGAUUGCUGUGAAUAUCAUUGAAGUCACAUUUAUGGAGCGAAUUUCCCAAAAACCAGACCAUGCAAAAAUCGAAAACAGCUUGAAAAGAAUCAUAAAAAAAUUACCUAGCUCAAAUCUUUUAUUUCACAGAUAUAGAAACUAAAACUGUUGUGAAGUUAACAGUGUUUGCCUCUAAAGUCAACUGCUAGUUAAUUAAUGAAAAAGGACCAAGAUCCAUGUAUGUUAAGACCAGGUUCUUUCUCCUGAACUGAACUUCCCUAUAAAAUAUACAAUAAAUUAUAUAUGUGUGUGUGUACAUGUCUAUGUACGUGUGUAUGUUUGUACACUGUGCUAGUAACAAUCUUUUCUGGUUGAAGGAUUUGCAAGUCCUCUGUGAUAAUGAUGAACUGAGAGCACGAGGGAAAACGGUACUCCCACUUCUCUAUUACCUUCAUUUCUUUUUCACUCAAUUUAAUUAUUUUCAGUGCCAGGCUGAUUAUGUGCCAGGCACUAGAGUACUCGAUGGUAGGGAAAGAAAGGGGGGGAAAAAAAAAGACGUGGUCCCUAUCCAUAAGAAAGCUCUCAGUUGUGAGUUUAUAGCUCCUUCCUAGAAGUCUCCCUUACGGAUUCCUCAUCACGCAGUCUAGGACAGCAGUGCC